GAUGAACGCUGGCGGCGUGCCUAAUACAUGCAAGUCGAGCGAACAGAUGAGGAGCUUGCUCCUCUGACGUUAGCGGCGGACGGGUGAGUAACACGUGGAUAACCUACCUAUAAGACUGGGAUAACUUCGGGAAACCGGAGCUAAUACCGGAUAAUAUAUUGAACCGCAUGGUUCAAUAGUAAAAGACGGUUUUGCUGUCACUUAUAGAUGGAUCCGCGCCGCAUUAGCUAGUUGGUAAGGUAACGGCUUACCAAGGCAACGAUGCGUAGCCGACCUGAGAGGGUGAUCGGCCACACUGGAACUGAGACACGGUCCAGACUCCUACGGGAGGCAGCAGUAGGGAAUCUUCCGCAAUGGGCGAAAGCCUGACUGAGCAACGCCGCGUGAGUGAUGAAGGUCUUCGGAUCGUAAAACUCUGUUAUUAGGGAAGAACAAAUGUGUAAGUAACUAUGCACGUCUUGACGGUACCUAAUCAGAAAGCCACGGCUAACUACGUG
rnacentral:rRNA from 1 species